rnacentral:rRNA from 1 species
AUGGCUAGGUCGAACAGGUCUUCUUCUAGUGCCUCCGUAGGAAACAAUGGAUCAACUCAGUCAACUGUACAGGCUAAAAAGCCUAGAACACCAAGAACUAGGACUUCAGCCGGUCUCAGACUAGAGGAAAUUGAUCGACCGCUUAUAGUUCCCAUUGGCAUGGCAUGGGAAAGGCACCCAUACAGCGCUCGUGAUCCAUCAACGGUGUUAGGUGCCUUAGUGCGCCAGAUGUAUCCACCGCCAAUUGGUCCAAAAAAUGAUCAGAAACCGGUAUUGUGUUGGGAGGACUACAAGUGGUCCCCUGGUCCAGAAGUAAGAACAGCAGCUUCCAAAAUAGUGGAAGAAUUUUGGUGGCGUUUCAAGUGUGACCCAUCGGAGCAAGAGAAGGCAGAUGGUGUUUUGGAGGAGAACUUAACUAGGAAAAAACUCAAAACCGGGAAAGACCCUGGAAUUUCUGGUGCUUGGCUUCACACGCACAAAUUGCAUCGAGGGACUGAUGAAGAGCAGAUAUGCAGUCAAAGAACUGCUGAUCAUUGGGAGGAUUUUGAUAAGGCAAUGAAAAAUGCCCAUGGAGAAAAUUGGGAAGAGGAGCACCCGGAUUUAGAUGGACAAAUCAUCUAUGAAGCAGCAGGCAGAAUGCCACAUGGCAGGCUGGGAAUUGCUAAUGAGUUGUUUAGCAAAGCAGAGAAGGCGAAGUUUAAGUCUAAAAGGGUGAUGGCCUCACAGCCGGUGCAAUCUGCUAAGGAGGAGCGUCUAGAAAGAGAAAACAAAUAUUUGAAGCAGGAGAUCAAGCGUCUUCGAGGCAUUGAGCUUGUUGUUCAGUCUUUGGCUGAGAAAGGGGGAGUCGACUUUGAUGGCAUAAUGCAAUCAGCAACAGAUGACUUGUCUCCAUCAUAUUCUGAAGGCGGAUUUCAAAGGGGACGAGGUGAUGUGCCUCAACACCAAACCGAAAAGGGAAUGGGAAGCAGGACUGGAGGCAGUACGAGUCAUGGAAAUGAUGAUGAGGACGACGACUAUGGCAAUGGGGGAUAUGGUAACUAUGGCGAGGGUGAUCUGUAUGGUGAUGAGCACUAUGAUCACUAUGGUGAUGGGGAAUAUGAUGACUAUGGAGAUGAGGAUGACUAUGUCUAUGGCUAUGGCGGUGGCGAUGGCGAUGAUGAUGAUUGGCUAUAA